AAAGAAAAAGAAAAAAGAAAGAAAAGAAAAGAAAAAAAAAAGAAAAGUGUGUUUAAGCAGUCAUUUUUUGUGGCAGUUUUUUGACAGGAGUAGCAUGAUUUCAGUAGGAUUUUGCUUAGUGAGUAUGUGGGGAAAAGUCCAAAAGGUAUCAUAAGACAGGUCAAAGGGGAGAUGUUUUUCCUGAGAGCUUCUGUUGAACUCAUUUCUGAAGCCUUCCAGGUCCUCUUCACCAAGUUUUAAACAUUCACUCCUGACCACUAGGUGGCAGAAGAACUCUGAAUUAGUUAAAGAAAAAAAAAAUGCUGCUUAGUCUAGGUGGAUUUGCUAUGAACCUUUAAUUGAGACUU